GACGAACGCUGGCGGCAUGCCUAACACAUGCAAGUCGAACGAAGGCUUCGGCCUUAGUGGCGCACGGGUGCGUAACGCGUGGGAAUCUGCCCUUAGGUUCGGAAUAACAGUUAGAAAUGACUGCUAAUACCGGAUGAUGACGUAAGUCCAAAGAUUUAUCGCCUGAGGAUGAGCCCGCGUAGGAUUAGCUAGUUGGUGUGGUAAAGGCGCACCAAGGCGACGAUCCUUAGCUGGUCUGAUAGGAUGAUCAGCCACACUGGGACUGAGACACGGCCCAGACUCCUACGGGAGGCAGCAGUGGGGAAUAUUGGACAAUGGGCGCAAGCCUGAUCCAGCAAUGCCGCGUGAGUGAUGAAGGCCUUAGGGUUGUAAAGCUCUUUUACCCGUGAUGAUAAUGACAGUAGCGGGAGAAUAAGCCCCGGCUAACUCCGUG
rnacentral:rRNA from 1 species